AAAGUUGUUGCAGUUAAAAAGCUCGUAGUUGGAUUUCGGGACGGCACGGUCGGUCCGCCGCAAGGUGUGUCACUGGCCGGGCUGUUCUUCCUCGCAAAGACUGCGUGUGCUCUUAGCUGAGUGUGCGCAGGACUUGCGACGUUUACUUUGAAAAAAUUAGAGUGUUCAAAGCAGGCCAUCGCUUGAAUACAUAAGCAUGGAAUAAUGGAAUAGGACUUUGGUUCUAUUUUGUUGGUUUCUGGAACCGAAGUAAUGAUUAAGAGGGACAGUUGGGGGCAUUCGUAUUUCGUUAUAAGAGGUGAAGUUCUUGGAUUUACGAAAGACGAACUACUGCGAAAGCAUUUGCCAAGAAUGUUUUCAUUAAUCAAGAACGAAAGUUAGAGGAUCGAAGACGAUCAGAUACCGUCCUAGUUCUAACCAUAAACGAUGCCGACUAGGGAUCAGAGAGUGUUAUUGGAUGACCUCUUUGGCAUAUUAUGGGAAACCAAAGUUUUUGGGUUCCG
rnacentral:rRNA from 1 species